rnacentral:rRNA from 1 species
GACGAACGCUGGCGGCGUGCCUAAUACAUGCAAGUAGAACGCUGAAGCGAGGAGCUUACUCUUCUUGGAUGAGUUGCGAACGGGUGAGUAACGCGUAGGUAACCUGCCUUGUAGCGGGGGAUAACUAUUGGAAACGAUAGCUAAUACCGCAUAACAAUGGAUGACACAUGUCAUUUAUUUGAAAGGGGCAAUUGCUCCACUACAAGAUGGACCUGCGUUGUAUUAGCUAGUAGGUGAGGUAAUGGCUCACCUAGGCGACGAUACAUAGCCGACCUGAGAGGGUGAUCGGCCACACUGGGACUGAGACACGGCCCAGACUGCUACGGGAGGCAGCAGUAGGGAAUCUUCGGAAAUGGGGGCAACCCUGACCGAGCAACGCCGCGUGAGUGAAGAAGGUUGUCGGAUCGUAAAGCUCUGUUGUAAGUCAAGAACGGGUGUGAGAGUGGAAAGUUCACACUGUGACGGUAGCUUACCAGAAAGGGACGGCUAACUACGUG